CCGUCGUCUGUUCGGAUGAGUUCAGGUUAUUGUAAAGUGAACUCCCUGCAGAAGAUGCCC
rnacentral:pre_miRNA from 1 species